rnacentral:rRNA from 1 species
GUUGUAUGGUUAAGUGACUAAGCGUACACGGUGGAUGCCUUGGCAGUCAGAGGCGAUGAAGGACGUAUCAACUUGCGAUAAGCCCAGAUUAGGCAGUAAAAGCCACUUGAGUCUGGGAUUUCCGAAUGGGGAAACCCACUUACAUAAGUAAGUAUCCUGUUGUGAAUACAUAGCAGCAGGAGGCGAACCGGGGGAACUG